rnacentral:rRNA from 1 species
CUACGUGCCAGCAGCCGCGGUAAUACGUAGGUCCCGAGCGUUGUCCGGAUUUAUUGGGCGUAAAGCGAGCGCAGGCGGUUAGAUAAGUCUGAAGUUAAAGGCUGUGGCUUAACCAUAGUACGCUUUGGAAACCGUUUAACUUGAGUGCAGAAGGGGAGAGUGGAAUUCCAUGUGUAGCGGUGAAAUGCGUAGAUAUAUGGAGGAACACCGGUGGCGAAAGCGGCUCUCUGGUCUGUAACUGACGCUGAGGCUCGAAAGCGUGGGGAGCGAACAGGAUUAGAUACCCUGGUAGUCCACGCCGUAAACGAUGAGUGCUAGGUGUUAGGUCCUUUCCGGGACUUAGUGCCGCAGCUAACGCAUUAAGCACUCCGCCUGGGGAGUACGACCGCAAGGUUGAAACUCAAAGGAAUUGACGGGGGCCCGCACAAGCGGUGGAGCAUGUGGUUUAAUUCGAAGCAACGCGAAGAACCUUACCAGGUCUUGACAUCCCGAUGCCCGCUCUAGAGAUAGAGCUUUA